GCAGCAACAAGUUAUGCCUGAUGACCAUAGCAAGUUGGUACCACUCCUUCCCAUCCCGAACAGGACAGUGAAACGACUUUGCGCCGAUGAUAGUGCGGGUUCCCGUGUGAAAGUAGGUCAUCGUCAGGC
rnacentral:rRNA from 1 species